rnacentral:misc_RNA from 1 species
CCGAGUUUACAACUCCCAAACCCCUGUGAACAUACCACUUGUUGCCUCGGCGGAUCAGCCCGCUCCCGGUAAAACGGGACGGCCCGCCAAAGGACCCCUAAACUCUGUUUCUAUAUGUAACUUCUGAGUAAAACCAUAAAUAAAUCA